AAUUAAGAAUGCAUAGCUCCAUCCUCCAUUUGCAAAUACACUGUGUGCUCUUAGCAAUAACAUUGUACAGGAAAUACAGGAUCCAUUACUUUGGCUUGAAAAGAGGGUUCAAAGCUUGAAGCUGACCACUGCAAAGGCCACUUGUCACAUUUACUGAAAAUCAACCUAUUGAUAUCACAGCUGAAAAUAUAAACUCGACAACCAAAGCCCAUUGCACAACGUGGACUGCGUAAGAGUUAAAAAUAGAUUUGACGUGCCUCCUACCUGCAUAAUAAAUAUUCCAUCAAAAUCCUGAGCAGUAUUGACAAACCACACGAGCACCGGGUCUGACUGCAUGAUCAGCUGUCUGUGUCUACGCUACACCCUGUUAACCACAAGCAGUGUUAGAGCUAAAUAUAUCUGCAAUGCAGAAACAGUAGGUGCUAUGUGGUACACAAUUCUGAUUAGUUUUAAGAUAUUUUUCUAUCCUCAGAUAUAACAAAUAAAACAAAAUUUGCUGCUGA